GCAACUUCGCUGAAAUCAAAAUAAUUCAUGGAGUUCAUGACUGGCUCUGAAAUUUUUGUAAAUAUUAGUCAAAUUGAAAAUUCACAAUAACAAUACAAUCAUUAGUUAUUACAAUAUAAAUCAAAUUAAUGUACUCACCAUGUAUAGAUCCAGGGCUGGGAAGAAAAACCUUGUUCAUGAUUUAGGAAAAGUAGAGAAAAUGUUGAGUUAUAAAGGUUGUUACACGAAGAAUUGUCGUUCCAGAUAUACUGAGAAUCACGAGAUUUACGGUUCGACGGAGACGAAGGUGUUAGGAUGAAACGAAGGACCUAGGGUUCGACAGAGAUUGAGGUAGAACGAGGGUAUAAGGAAUUAGGGUUCGAUGGCAUCAUGUUGGGUUGAAUCAAAGGACUUUGAUAAGGAUGGAGAUGGAAGAUUGAAUAGAAGGUGUUGUGACAGCAAGGAACAAUGGAGAGAAUAGGAGAAUUGGAACAAAGGAACGAUGCAGUUGUGACUUGUGAGGAUAGGAGAUAAGUUUCUUUUUAAAAAAAUAAAAAUUGAUCUCUGUUUUUUUUAUUAUUCAUCAACCAAGAGGUUAAAGGUUCGACACCCACCCACUACAGUUUUUAAUUUAUUAAUUUUCUUUACUAUAGCGCUUUUUUACUAUAGCGCUAUUAUAGGGUAUCAGCAUAAAUAGCGCUUUUCAAAAGUGCUAUUAUAGAGGUUAGCGUUUAUGGCUUUAAUAUCGCUUUUCUCAAAAGCGCUAUUGUAGUGUUCCUGAAUUCAAGGAUUUAAUAGCGUUUCUACUAAAACCGCUAUUAUAAGGCUCCGUUUUUAUGUUUUAAUAGCGGUUUUUAAAUAAGCGCUAUUAAAU
rnacentral:lncRNA from 1 species